rnacentral:tRNA from 1 species
GUGGAUAUAGCUCAGUGGUAGAGCACAUGCCUAGCAUACAUGAGGUCCUGGGUUCAAUCCCCAGUACCUCCA